GUGAGACACUCUAAGAGGGAAGGGCCCAGUUCAGAGAAGCAAGGCAUUCCUUGCAAGAGAGUUGGGAAAAAUCACAGCCUGGUCUUUUCCCCGCUGUAGAUGGAAUGGCUGCUGUAGUUCUAAUCCAGUGCUUGCAUCUCACCCAGGACGCUCCAAUGGAAAGAAAAGAAAGCUGUGCAGCAGGCCGCUCCAGGCCUUGCCCCCGCCCAGCCCCUCUGGCCUAUUGUCCCAGCCCUGCCAGGAAGCACUGAUUCCCAGUCGAGUCACAGCUAUGUCAAGAAUGUCCAGGCGGAGUAACACUGGUGGCUCCAUGCCAGGCCCUGUGGAGGCACAUCCCCAGCGCCAUCUGAUCCUGGUCGGCACACCCCCCUCUCCUCCCUUGCUGGGAUCUGGGUUUCCACGGCAACAGGAUUAAAGGCUGGAAUAUCACUGUUUAUUCUUUGGCCUGUGCCAGGAAAUGAGAGGCCUUCUCUCUCCCUUACUCCAGCUGCCAUCUAGGGGUGUAGUAUUCAUGGAAACUUUGGGCAGGGUCCUGCCUGCUUCAGGGAAAUGGACCGCGCAGGGAACAAAUAAAGCAACUCAUCUGGGGGGAGCGGGGAGGGGGCUGUCCUUGACUUUUAGGUUCCUCUGAGGGUACUCAGCCUGGACAGCAGGGCACAUGAGAGAGCCAGUCACUUAGUAUUGACUCCCUUUUUCCAGGGAACAGAGCACAAUGCUUAUACUGUUUAACUGCCAAGCAGAACAAGCCCCAGGUGCCUAUCAUGCCUGCUGAACACAGAGGGUUUCCCCAAAGGAUAGUCACAAUAACCAUCAGGAGUCACUAAAUGGGGCAGACACGUACCCACACGAAUUAUUUGAGGCCUCUUUAUUUGUAACAAGCAACCUCUGUCCUCUGGACCCCACACCUUCAUCCUUUCUCAGGAUACAAGCUGCUGAGAACCAGCACGAUUUGGGACACAACACACUGCUGCAAUCAGCGGCUGGUUCAAAAAAUCCGGGAAAGUUUGUGAAUGCCUUUCAUUUCUUGGAACAUCUUCCGAUCAGCAGUGACGUGUUGGACUAGCAGCAAACCUUAAGCAGAAGUUUCACAAGUCUCAUGCUUUCCCCAGAAAUGCCUCCAGUUCUACAGUACUCUGGGAACUAAGUGAAUGUGUGAGAAAGUCACAUUUCCUUUCUUUGCCUCUCUACCAGAACUGAGACCGGUAGCACUGAAGUCACCACUGUGACAAUUUACUGGAUGGCAGGUGGACUUGCUUGGCAGAGCACAGUAAUGAGGCUGCAGCCCUGCCUGGCUCAACAGGCAGGAAAUACCCUGUCCCAACAGGAAAGUAUCUCUACCAAACGCAGGAUGCACACAGUCCUUAUCUAGUGCUUUACAAACUUAACCAGUUCCUGUCACCCAAAGUUCUGAGAACAAAGAAAACAAAACAGAAACUUGCCAGGCUGUGCGGUUGUCCUUUCAAACAUUGUAAAAGUGGAUCCAGAAGGCUCACUACAAGCGCACCUGAAUGAUUGUGCACAUACAGUUCACACGCUCAUGGCAAUGUCUGUUAAAUGAAAACUGGAGAUCCCGAGAGUGCAUGCACUACCACGGAGCGUGUUGUGAGAACUCUGGAUUUUUCACAGAUCCCUAGGUGGCGCCGCAAAAACCUGACAUUAAGCCGACAUUUAAAACCCAAGAUCAAAGAUUAGUUAUCUUGGUUUAAAUGUUGGGUUUUUGUGGCAUCACCAGAGGAUUGGCAAAAAAUCCUGAGUUCACGCAGCACAUUCCAUAGGAGCACAUGCACCACUGGGAUCUCCAGUUUCUUUACCUUCCCCAUACUGCAUUUUCACAAUUUUGGGUCUAGGCAUUUUUUUAUUUUUGUGACAUACAUAAACUCCACAAACCAGAUUAAAGUUCUUAUAAUUACAAAAGGAGUGUAGUGUAUAGCGAGAAGAUGUAGAUUUGACAUCAGUAAACACAUCUGAUAGUAUAAUGACCAAGUGAAAACCUUGUAGCCUUUUCCCUGUAGCUUUGUUUAGGGUGUCACCCCACAAUGAACUGUGACAAUUCAAGUGGAUGUAAUCUCCAUUAACUAAAAGAAGGGAAUCCGUUUAAUGUAUUCUAGGCUAUCUAUGAAAUGAAUAGAUGUUAACUACAAGGGGUCUUCAGCCUUUCCAGAUCUUGGACCUAGUUUUAACCACACUUGAAACAAAGGCACCAGUUUAUUGAUUAAUAUUACCUUCUUUCUUUUUCUCUGUCCUUUCCUCUCUUUCUCCUUCUAUUGUUGUCUCCUUUUCCUCUCCCCUUUAGAAUUGUGCGGUAUUCUGCUGCCCUCAUCUAUUUAUUUACGUCGCAUUUAUAUAUCACCCUGUAUAAAAUACCAGGGCAGUUUACAAUUUAAACAAACAGAAAACAGCAAGUAAAACCUAAAAAUAAUAGAAAACCAAUUAAAAUUACCAUAAACACAACUUAAAAACAUCAUAAACGAAAAGCCUGAUGAAACAGGUGUGUUUAAAACAAUCAGAGAUGGGAAGAUUCUGAUGACAUUUGGGAGUGUGUUCCAGAGCCCUGGGGCAACCCUAGACAAGGCCCGGUUUUGGGUUGCCUCCAAGCGAGCCUGUGGCAACUGCAACCGGAUCUCCCGGUUACAUGGCGGGUUUCAUGAAGUAGAAGGCUCUCUCUUAAAUACCCUGGACCCAAGCUGUUCAGGGCUUUAUGGGUAAUAAAAAGUACAAGGACUGCAGGAUUUUGGAACCGUAUCACAAGAUCAGACUUUACAGCUAUUACCUCUUGCUGGCUAGGGAGCAGCUCCAUCUCUCAUUCAGUUCAUCUAUCACCUUGCAGGGAGUUUGUGCACUUUUUGGUUUAUCAUUUGUACACAGAACUGCAUGUUCAGUUGUUUUAUCAGUUAGAUUAUUAAAUUAAGCAAUCUUUUGGUUGAGCUGAGUUGAGCUCAACACAGUCUGCUGUCACAAUACCCAAACAGCACUCUGCACAUAUAACAUUAUUUUGUGCUGGUCCGAGAUAUCAUGUAUUGAACACUGCAGGUGUUUAAUAGUGGAGUUCAACAAUGCAAUAAAAACUUCACUUCAUCAAUGUGUAUUUAAGUACAUGAACAGGAUAACAUGUUGAAUCUGUUAAUGGAUUGUCAUCUUAAUGGCUAUUCAAGUUACUCAAUUAAACUUAGUAGUUACUCUAAAUGACUAUUUAAUUUCAGUAGGACUGCUGAUGAGUAAUUUAGUCAGGAUGUCAGCCUAUGCAUAUUCUAAUAUAUAUAUAUAUAUUUAAUUGUUCUGAGCUGUUUUAAUUUGUUUUAGGUUUUUUAAAAUUGGUGUUAAUUAUGUGCCUAUCUUUUAUUGUAAAUUGCCAUGAGAUACUAUAAUUUGGCAGUAUAAAAGUGUAAUCAAUAAAUAAAUGUUUGCAUAUGGAACAAAAGAUUUUUGCAUGUUUUAGAAAAACCUUUUGGCUGGUUUAAA